rnacentral:pre_miRNA from 8 species
CACUUCAGAAUCUCCACGUCACCUGCUCCUCAGAUCAGAAGGUGAUUGUGGCUUUGGGUGGAUAUCAAUCAGCCACAGCACUGCCUGGUCAGAAAGAGCAAGUGUCCUAGCCUUUUACCUCAU